rnacentral:tRNA from 1 species
GCCGAGGUGGCGGAAUAGGCAGACGCAGGGGACUUAAAAUCCCUUGAGCCGGGAGGCUCGUGCGGGUUCGACUCCCGCCCUCGGCA